rnacentral:rRNA from 1 species
UACGUAGGGGGCUAGCGUUGUCCGGAAUCAUUGGGCGUAAAGAGCGUGUAGGCGGUCCGGUAAGUCCGUUGUGAAAGUCAAGGGCUCAACCCUUGAAUGCCGGCGGAUACUGUCGGGCUAGAGUCCGGAAGAGGCAAGUGGAAUUCCCGGUGUAGCGGUGAAAUGCGCAGAUAUCGGGAGGAACACCUAUGGCGAAGGCGGCUCUCUGGGACGGUACUGACGCUGAGACGCGAAAGCGUGGGGAGCGAACAGG